GUAGGGUGCAAGCGUUAAUCGGAAUUACUGGGCGUAAAGCGUGCGCAGGCGGUUUUGUAAGUCUGUCGUGAAAGCCCCGGGCUCAACCUGGGAAUUGCGAUGGAGACUGCAAGGCUUGAAUCUGGCAGAGGGGGGUAGAAUUCCACGUGUAGCAGUGAAAUGCGUAGAGAUGUGGAGGAACACCGAUGGCGAAGGCAGCCCCCUGGGUCAAGAUUGACGCUCAUGCACGAAAGCGUGGGGGGAGCAAACAGGAUUAGAUACCCUGGUAGUCCACGUCCCUAAACGAUGUCUACUAGUUGUCGGGUUUUAAUUAACUUGGUAACGCAGCUAACGCGUGAAGUAGACCGCCUGGGGAGUACGGUCGCAAGAUUA
rnacentral:rRNA from 1 species